AUUGAACGCUGGCGGCAGGCCUAACACAUGCAAGUCGAGCGGAUGAAGGGAGCUUGCUCCUGGAUUCAGCUGCGGACGGGUGAGUAAGGCCUAGGAAUCUGCCUGGUCUUGGGGGAUAACGUCCCGAAACGGGCGCUAAUACCGCAUACGUCCUGAGGUAGAAAGUGAGGGAUCUUCGGACCUCACGCUAUCAGAUGAGCCUAGGUCGUAUUAGCUAGUUGGUGUGGUAAAGGCCUACCAAGGCGACGAUCCGUAACUGGUCUGAGAGGCUGAUCAGCCACACUGGAACUGAGACACGGUCCAGACUCCUACGGGAGGCAGCAGUGGGGAAUAUUGGACAAUGGGCGAAAGCCUGAUCCAGCCAUGCCGCGUGUGUGAAGAAGGUCUUCGGAUUGUAAAGCACUUUAAGUUGGGAGGAAGGGCAGUAAGUUAAUCCCUUGCUGUUUUGACGUUACCAACAGAAUAAGCACCGGCUAACUUCGUG
rnacentral:rRNA from 1 species